rnacentral:rRNA from 1 species
AGUGAACGCUGGCGGUAGGCCUAACACAUGCAAGUCGAACGGCAGCACAGUAAGAGCUUGCUCUUACGGGUGGCGAGUGGCGGACGGGUGAGGAAUACAUCGGAAUCUACUUUUUCGUGGGGGAUAACGUAGGGAAACUUACGCUAAUACCGCAUACGACCUACGGGUGAAAGUAGGGGAUCUUCGGACCUUGCGCGAUUGAAUGAGCCGAUGUCGGAUUAGCUAGUUGGCGGGGUAAAGGCCCACCAAGGCGACGAUCCGUAGCUGGUCUGAGAGGAUGAUCAGCCACACUGGAACUGAGACACGGUCCAGACUCCUACGGGAGGCAGCAGUGGGGAAUAUUAGACAAUGGGCGCAAGCCUGAUCCAGCCAUACCGCGUGGGUGAAGAAGGCCUUCGUGUUGUAAAGCCCUUUUGUUGGGGAAGAAAAGCAGCAGGUUAAUACCCCGCUGUUCUGACGGUACCCAAAGAAUAAGCACCGGCUAACUUCGUG